AAGACCUAGCAUCUACGUUUAACAAAUUUAAGAUCCAACAGAUAUCCAGAUCGGAGAACUCUAGGGCAGACUUGUUGUCUAAGUUGGUGAUGUUGGUGCCAUCUAAAUUGCCCAAAAAUUUUUUUUUGAGGUGAUGAGCUGACCCAGCGUUGAAGAGCUGACAACCAUAAUGCAGAUAGAUGAGGAACCCUCCUGGAUCGACCUACUAAUCAGUUAUUUUAAGGAAGGGAUGCUGUCCAUG
rnacentral:lncRNA from 1 species